AGAGUUUGAUCCUGGCUCAGGAUGGACGCUAGCGGCAGGCUUAACACAUGCAAGUCGAGGGGUAUAUUUCUUCGGAGAUAGAGACCGGCGCACGGGUGCGUAACGCGUAUGCAAUCUACCUUUUACAGAGGGAUAGCCCAGAGAAAUUUGGAUUAAUACCUCAUAGCAUUGCAGGAUGGCAUCAUUCAGCAAUUAAAGUCACAACGGUAAAAGAUGAGCAUGCGUCCCAUUAGCUAGUUGGUAAGGUAACGGCUUACCAAGGCUACGAUGGGUAGGGGUCCUGAGAGGGAGAUCCCCCACACUGGUACUGAGACACGGACCAGACUCCUACGGGAGGCAGCAGUGAGGAAUAUUGGACAAUGGGCGCAAGCCUGAUCCAGCCAUGCCGCGUGCAGGAUGACGGUCCUAUGGAUUGUAAACUGCUUUUAUACGAGAAGAAACACUCCUUCGUGAAGGAGCUUGACGGUAUCGUAAGAAUAAGGAUCGGCUAACUCCGUGCCAGCAGCCGCGGUAAUACGGAGGAUCCAAGCGUUAUCCGGAAUCAUUGGGUUUAAAGGGUCCGUAGGCGGUUUAAUAAGUCAGUGGUGAAAGCCCAUCGCUCAACGGUGGAACGGCCAUUGAUACUGUUAGACUUGAAUUAUUAGGAAGUAACUAGAAUAUGUAGUGUAGCGGUGAAAUGCUUAGAGAUUACAUGGAAUACCAAUUGCGAAGGCAGGUUACUACUAAUUGAUUGACGCUGAUGGACGAAAGCGUGGGUAGCGAACAGGAUUAGAUACCCUGGUAGUCG
rnacentral:rRNA from 1 species